rnacentral:lncRNA from 1 species
UAGGUCUAUCAUUCAAAGAUACAACCAAAUAGGCAGAAUCAUUUCCUGAGGAGCCCAUUUUCUUUAUCUCAGGUCCUGCAAAUUUCUCCCUGGUAUUAUCAGGGAGGAGCAGCAGCUGAGCUAUCCUAUCUCCUUUACUAAUAGAAAAAACGCCUUUAGGGCUUGAGCACAGGACCUGUAUUUCAGGGGAAUGUUGACAAUCCAUAACUCCAGGGUGGACUACUAAGCCCUGUAAGGUGAGUGAACCCCGGCCGAGAAUAAGGCCCAUGGUUCCCGGGGGCAAGGAUGGUAUAGGCUCCACUGGCACCGGCUGAAUACUCAUUUGAGGCAUUAAUAGGAAGUCGGAGGCGGCACGCAGGUCCACCCUUGUGGGUCUUCCUGGGUCGCCUCUCUGACUGCUUCCUGGGUCCUGACAAACCGGUUCCCAUAUCUUUGAGGGCCCUGGGACCGAGGGCCCGAUGACCCGUUUUUUGGCACAUAAGCUGAUUGACUAUCAGGUGGGGGAAGGAUUCUGCCCUUUAUAUCCCUCACAGAGCGACACUGGUCGGCUCUAUGAUAACCCUUGCCACACUUAGAGCAAAGAGUGAGAGUCCCUCCCUGUUUAUCUGGAGCUCUGCAAUCUUUCUUAAAAUGCCCAGGCUUUCCGCAGUUAAAACAUGUCCUCUGAUUAUUUCUGCCCAUGGAGCGGUUUUGGGAUUGAAGGAUGGCAGCCGCUAAACCUGCAUUGCUGAGAGGUCCCCCAAGCUCUCGACAAACCCUGAGCCAGUCUUGUAAGCCUUUGUUCUUUCUUGGGGCUAUGGCCGCUCGGCACUCCUUUGUGGCUUGCUCAUAGAUGAGCUGUUCUACCAGAGGCGCAGCUUGCUCUGACUCUCCAAAAAUACGCUCUGCUGCCUCUGUCAUUCUGGCCACAAAAUCUGAGAAGGACUCCUGAGGUCCCUGGAUUAUCUUUGUUAACUGCCCAGUGGCUUCACCUGCUCGGGAGAGCGCCUUCCAGGCCCUAAUAGCCGUGGAGGAAAUUUGGGCAUAAGCUCCCCAAUGGUAGUUUGUCUGAUCAGCAGAAUAAGCUCCCUGACCCGUUAACAAGUCAAAAGUCCAAUCUCUCUGCUCUGGAGUCAAAGCAGCUGCGUUUGCUCGGGCCUGCGCUUGUGCAGCCUCGUGCCAAAGCGCUCUCCAUUCCAUAUAUUUGCCCAUACUAGGGAGAGCGGCUUUUACAAUCGUUUGCCAGUCAGCAGGAGUUAGUGCCAUGCCGGCGAGCCUGUCUAACUGCACCAAGGUAAAAUUAGCAUUGGUUCCGUAUUUACGGACCGACUCGGCGAGUUCUUUAAUCUGCACGUAUUCUACCGGAGCGUGGACACGCCCACCCUCGGCUCCUUCAAAGACUGGAAAUGCCUGUUGUAUUUUCCUUUGUUCCUCUCUGGGAAUGAAUGAGUCUGCGCACUGCCUCUCUGCGCACUGUCUCUCUGCGCACUGCCUCUCUGCGCACUGCCUCUCUGCGCACUGCCUCUCUGCGCACUGCCUCUCUGCGCAUUGCUGAUGCACUACGCAGGGCGGGGGCUCCGCAUAGGGCGGACCUUGAAACCGACUGCCCGGAGGUUGAACAGUACGCUGGCUUUCGCCAGACGCUUUUGGCUUUUUUCUUGACCAAUUAGCUGGCUGGUAAUGGGCUGCUUCUUCCUCCCAGUCUGUUUCCUCAGAGGAGAAUUCUUCAUCUGCUUCAGAGCUACUAAGAGCUGGCUUCCUGAGCUCAUCUAGUGACGAGUAUCUCCUAGAGACCUCCGCUAAUCGAUCUUUUUUCUUUUCUUUUUUCUUUUCCUUCCUUCUAAUCUCUCCCCAGGUAUUCUUACCUGACCUAAACUUUUCCUCGGGUUCAAGACCCGUGGAAAGGCCUGUAUACUUAUUUUGUGUACCAUAUUUUCUCUUUGCUCCUACUCUCUCUCCCCGCUUUACUUCUGAUAGAUUGUCCUGAAUUUCAUCUAGAAUCCGCCCUGCCUUAACCACUUGAUAACAUGUGAAAAGGAACAAAAGGGCUUCUAACACUAGAAAAAAUUCAAGGCCAAACAUUUUCCACUUUACUUCUGAUAGACUGUCUUGAAUUUCCUUAGAAAGUUCAAGACCAGACUUACCUCGUAAAGCUGUACUCACUGGUACUCUCGUUCCCCAGCUGAAAAGUUCUGAAUUCAUGCAGUUGAAUCCUUCUCAACAGUCUGCUUUACGGGAACCUUUAUUACCGCGACCCGCAGUUCUGGUUCUGGAAUGAGGGAUCUUCCUUGCGCCGGUCCCGAGUUUUCUUGUAUUUUUUCGUCCCGGAUUUUUUCUCGUCCCGGAAUUUCUCGUCCCGGAAUUCGGCACCAAUUCUUAAUAGCGUUCUCACGCCCGGCCAGGAAGAACACAACAGACCAGAAUCUUCUGCGGCAAAACUUUAUUGCUUACAUCUUCAGGAGCUAGGAGUGCAAACCCCCAGACCCAAAAGCGAAAGCCACCCCUAUAUUGAAACCGAAACCCCUUCCCUAUUUAGGAGAGUUAUAUUUCGCCUAGGACGCAUCACUCCCUGAUUGGCUGCAGCCCAUGGCCGAGCUGACGUUCACGGGAAAGGCAGAGUACAAGUAAUCGUAAAAUACCCUUGGCACAUGCGCAGAUUAUUUGUUUACCACUUAGAACACAGGAUGUCAGCGCCAUCUUGUGACGGCGAAUGUGGGGGCGGCUCCCAACAGUUGACAGAAACGAAAGAAAUGAAUCUGGUGAAUGAAUAGGAUGGCCUAGAAAAGCAGAGAUUUGUGGGAUUGCCAAUGUCCCCUGAUCCCCUAUAUUCUCUAAAUGCUUUGUAACAUCUACAAACACACACACACACACACACACACACAGACACUAGCACAUGCAUGCAUGUACAUACACUCACAUAAAAUACAUAUAGACUUAAAGAUUUCAAAAAUAUUUAGGGCUUUUAUGAGUCAGGUUCAUUUCUCUUAGAAAAAAAUCUAUAUUUUUGAGACUUUUCUAUGUUUUGGUUAAAAAGACUUGGGGAAUCCUAAUUUUUUUUCUUUUCCGGGUAGCGUUUUAAAAAUUUUGUUCUCUUUUAGAUGUAGAACGCUGAUGUCACACAGACAUUCCUGUCUUUAUCCCAUUGAACCAUACAACCCUUCAGGCUGAGUUACUAACAAAUGAGACAAUACAAGGACCAUGUAUAUAAGCCAGUAAUCACAAGAAUCAUUAUACAUGAAGGGAAAGCACAAUGAGUUAUCACUACGGAGGGAUUGUGGGAGACUUGAACUAAAAACAAAGAGGCCAUUCGCUUAAAAACACACGAAAUAUAUGUAGUCCUGAGAAAUCUCAGAAGCCCACAGAAAGCAUUCUAGCAAAGAGUUUCCAAACAGGGAUUAGGCAUUAUUUAUGCAUUAAUGUUAGCUCAACAAAAAGACUUAUGCCUGACCUUUUAACUUAGAUAAUAUGAAAUAAUGAAUUUUGUUGAGGUUUCUGGAUCUAUGUUCACUUGUUACAUAAGAGGUCUUAAAAGAUAUCACUAUAUACAAAAAGCAUCCCAUUCCCAACCUGCACACACUCUCUUGUGCAUAAGGCACCAACAACCUUGAGGAAGUUACCAGAAAAGGCAGUAUAGGAAGAGAUGAGUGAUGAGUAAAUCUUAAAGACAUAACAGUUAUAAUAAUGCACUAAACUAGAAUCAACAGAGAUGUAUUCCGAUCUUUAUUUACUAAUGCUUACUUUAUUUUCUUCACUAUGUUUAUAAAUAUUCUGAAAUCAUCCUUUUUUAAUUACAAAAAAAUGGAAAAUUUCUGUAGGCAGCACAGUAGGAAUGGGAGCUGAAAGGAGAGAUGAAUAAUAUUCCAUUGUGUGCAUGUGCCACACUUUUAUUAUCCAUUCAUUUGAUGAUGGACAUCUAAGUUCAUUCCAUUUCCUAGCUAUUGUGAGAAGAGCCACAAUAAAGAUGGAUAAGCAAGUGGUUUUAUGGAAAGAUCCAAAGUCUGUUGAUUGUUUGCCUUGGAAGAGGUCUGGGGAGAGUUAGAAUGAGGAAAUCAAUCAGGGGCGUAUGAACACAUUUCUUUUUUCAUACAUCAUACUC